rnacentral:lncRNA from 10 species
UUUUUUUUUUUUUUUUUUUUUGAGACAGUGUCUCUUUCUGUUUCUUAGGCUAGAAUGCAGUAGUUACAAUCACAGCUCACUGCAGCCUUGAUCUCCCAAGCUCAAGGGAUCCUCCCAUCUUAACUUCCUGCAUAGCUGGAACUACAGGCAUGUGCCACCACAUCAGGCUCAAUUUUAAUUUUAAUUUAAUUUUUUUGAGACAUAGUCUCACUCUGUCGCCCAGGCUGGAGUGAGACCCCAUUUCAAAAAAAAAAAGUGCCAAAUGUGUCCCUUCAAUUCCAGUCAGCACUUUUGGAAACACGCGUAAAAUUGUUGCCAAUGUGCAUUCUGUGUGUUUGGGAGUCAUUGUGCAAAAUGCGUGGGCAGCAAGCACUCUUUUGUGAACCAAGUUCUAUGAACCACCAAGUAUUCUUUCUCUAGGCUGAAUUCCAAGGCUCUGUUCAGAGAGUACAGGUUUCUGAAGGAAGGGAUUUGAUCUAUGUAUGCGGCUUUCUUCUUAAAAUGCCAGGAAGAAGGUUGCUUAACAAAUGCUUUUGACAUUCCUGACAAGUAAUCUCCAGGCUUGACUUCAGGGGUGAGUUACACCUCUCCCUCCCCACGCCUUUUUGAGAGUAUUGCCAACAAGCAGCAGCAAAACUGAUGUUCUUCAACUCCACCCUUUGGUGCAUCACUGAAAUGGCAAAAAGGUAGGAGGUGCAGAGGAGAACUUCAGGCCACGGAGGCAAGAAGUCAGUCAUUGAUUCCUGGCAUGAUUGUGAUAGUCGUGUUUGGAAAUCCAACCCAUAAAAUGAGCCACCGGUUUCACAGCGCACACCUUAGAGAUCUCAGAAACAUGCCCUAGGCUUGCUUGAGUCACAAUAGCUGGGUUCAAAUCUCCACUCCUGUUGUCUAAAGAACGAACUGUCUAGGCUAGUCUCAGCCUUGGUUUACAGGUAUCUCUCCGCAGGGUUUUUUUGGGAGAACUAUAUUUGAAAUAAUGUGUGUGAAAGUUUCUGAGAUAUAGUAAGUAAUAAUACUUGUGGGGAUUCUAAGGCUUACUUGCAGUGAUUUAAGUGUAUAUGGGGAAUAUUUUUAUUGUAUUGCAUUGGCAUGAAUAAAGACAUUUGAGAUUUGGAUGUUUACGUCUUAAAAAGCCAGUGGUAUUUAAUAUUUGCAGGAAGAAAAUGUUGUAUUUACCCUAUAAUAUAGGAAACUUGGCCCAUUUUUCUAAUGAUAUAGAAAAAGCUCAAUUAGGCUUAAAUAUGACCUAGCACCACCCCAAGCCUACAGCACUUGUAUUCUCUUUAAUAAAAAUUGCGUAAAUUAUAGCUUUCUCUUGAUUUGCACAGUACGGGCUCAAUUCUACCCCCUUUCCCCUAAGUAGAGUUGUUUCUUACUAUUUUUCAGGUUAACCAACUAAUGUCAGACAUAUGUUUCUUCACCAAACACUGCAUUAGGGGACGUUUAUUUUACAUUUGUUCCCUUUUGCAAAUAUUUGCAGUUAGUUGCAGAACUGAGCUAUUUUAUGAAGUACAGAAAAUAUGUCCAGGGAAAACAUAAGGUUUCAAAAGUAGCUUUUGAGAAGGAGAAAGGAAGAAAAGUCUAAUUACAGUGAAGAUAGGUACUGAUUUGUGCUAAGAGAAUGUAUAAAUCACGUCCACUACACUCGUGGUUUUAAUGCAUUCUGUGCAUCUGAAUUAAACAGGAGCUAGUGUUUGAAAUUAUGUCUAAAGCUUUCUUCAGUGAUUUGAGAAUAUAAAAAGUAGUGUUUCUUUUCUUUCAAAAGACAUCCCUCUCGCAGUGUGCCUUCUAUUCUUGACUUGUCUUGCUAUAAAAGAAAAAGCUCUCACAGUCUUUUCAAAUCUAAAUAGUCUGUACAUUAAAACAGUUUCUUUUUUCAUUUAGGAAACUGAAUCAUAGCUAUACAGUUACAAACAUAAUAUGAAAACCUAAACACCUUUUAUCUAAAAUGAACCCUCAGCAAAUUAGCAAGAGGUAAGGUUUAGGUAUGAGGGACAUUUUUUUUUUUUUUUUUUUUUUUUUUUGAGAUGGAGUCUUGCUUUGUUGCCCAGGCUGGAGGGCAGUGGAGUGAUCUCGGCUCACUGCAACCUCCGCCUCCCAAGUUCAAGCGAUUCUCCUGUCUCAGCCCCCCUAGUAGCUGGGAUUACAGGCACCCGCCACCAUGCCCGGCUAAUUUUUAUAUUUUUAGUAGAGACGGGAUUUCACCAUGUUGGCCAGGCUGGUCUUGAACUCCUGACCUCAGGUGAUCCACCUGCCUUGGCCUCCCAAAGUGCUGGGAUUACAGGCAUGAGCCACUGCGCCCGGCCUAAAGGACAUUUCGGUAUACAUUUAAAGUGAAUGUUUUAUACAAUGAGUCAAAAGAUGCCCUGACCUACAAUAAAUUUAAUUCUUUUGUUGAUAAUUCCAGGCAACUUAAACAUAUUCAAAGCAAACAUGGGAUGGUUAGGACCCAAAACAGCAUUUGUUUAGAAAGAUGAGGUCCUAUCUGGGAUUCCUUUUGCCAAGGGAAGAUGCCACUGGAAAUGAGACUACUAAUGCCCCAAGAAGUGACUGAUCCUAUAAUGGAAAAGGGAAAAAAGAAAAAGAGAACUGCUUCCUUCUUCAAGGGACAACCACAUCAAAGCACAAAUGCACUCCUGCGUAGGUGUGUGAGAUGAAGGUACCAUCUCAGCCACUGUAGAAACUGCUGGCCUCCCUUGAAAGAACACAGGCCACAUUCCAGGGCAACCAUUUCUGUUUAAACUAGUUUUUAAAUGUUAAAAUGUUAUAUGCAUAUGAUGACAAUAUAAAUGGUAGCAAAAUAUAGGUGUUAAGAAUAAAAGCUUCUGUCCUCAUUAGUCUUCUAGUCCCUCUCUCUGAUUUAUUGGACAUCAUUCCAGAAAUUUUUUUCCUUUAAGACGGAGCCUCACUCUGUUGUCCAGGCUGGAGGGCAGUGGCGCAAUCUCAGCUCACUGCAAGCUCCACCUCCCGGGUUCAUGCCAUUCUCCUGCCUCAGCCUCCUGAGUAGCUGGGACUACAGGCGCCCGCCACAACACCCUGCUAAUUUUGUUUUUGUAUUUUUAGUAGAGACGGGGUUUCACCGUGUUAGCCAGGAUGGUUUCGAUCUCCUAACCUCAUGAUCUGCCUCCCCUUGGCCUCCCAAAGUGCUGGGAUUACAAGCGUGAGCCACCACGCCCAGCCUGGAAAUUAAUGUGUAGACAAGUACACAGAAAAUGCACAUGGCUUUUUAUACAAAUAGGAUCCACCCUUUUUAAAACAAAUGGUGGGCUGAGUGCAGUAGCUCAUGCCUAUAAUCCCAACACUUGGGGAGGCAGAGGCGAGAGGAUUGCUUGAGACCAGGAGGAGUUCGAGACCAGCCUGGGCAAAACACAGUGAGACCCCGCCUCUAAAAAGAAAUUUAAAAAACUAAAAUGAAA